UACGUAGGGUGCGAGCGUUAAUCGGAAUUACUGGGCGUAAAGCGUGCGCAGGCGGCUAUGUAAGACAGAUGUGAAAUCCCCGGGCUCAACCUGGGAACUGCAUUUGUGACUGCAUGGCUAGAGUGCGUCAGAGGGAGGUGGAAUUCCGCGUGUAGCAGUGAAAUGCGUAGAGAUGCGGAGGAACACCGAUGGCGAAGGCAGCCUCCUGGGAUGACACUGACGCUCAUGCACGAAAGCGUGGGGAGCAAACAGG
rnacentral:rRNA from 1 species